CCAGGCCUUCCUGUUUACGACCUUGUUUACCUGGAGAGAAGACAAUGGACAGAGAUGCCUCUCAGAAAAUCUGGUUCCUCAAGGCCCUGGGCAGCUGGGACAAAGGGCUCCUCUCCUCCUCGCUCCAGGCAGGAGAUGAUUUCAGGCUUGUGAAUGGGAAUCUCUGCUCAUGGGAAAGUCAGCAGGAAGACAAGAUGUCUGGGACUCUAAUUAGGCAGCACUCACACACCCUAUGCAUGGAC